AUGAUGUGGUUUAAUUCGAUGCAACGCGAAAAACCUUACCCACCUUUGACAUGGCAGGAAUCCUAAAGAGAUUUAGGAGUGCUCGAAAGAGAACCUGCACACAGGUGCUGCAUGGCUGUCGUCAGCUCGUGUCGUGAGAUGUUGGGUUAAGUCCCGCAACGAGCGCAACCCUUGCCAUUAGUUGCUACGAAAGGGCACUCUAAUGGGACUGCCGGUGACAAACCGGAGGAAGGUGGGGAUGACGUCAAGUCCUCAUGGCCCUUAUAGGUGGGGCUACACACGUCAUACAAUGGCCGGUACAGAGGGUAGCCAACCCGCGAGGGGGAGCCAAUCCCACAAAGCCGGUCGUAGUCCGGAUCGCAGUCUGCAACUCGACUGCGUGAAGUCGGAAUCGCUAGUAAUCGCGGAUCAGCAUGUCGCGGUGAAUACGUUCCCGGGUCUUGUACACACCGCCCGUCACACCAUGGGAGCGGGUUCUGCCAGAAGUAGUUAGCCUAACCGCAAGGAGGGCGAUUACCACGGCAGGGUUCGUGACUGGGGUGAAGUCGUAACAAGGUAGC
rnacentral:rRNA from 1 species